GGGCCGGGAGGCGGCCGGCGGAGGAAGUGACAGCCGGAGGCUGCGUUUGCGGGGCGCUCCCGGAGGAAAGGGAGGGGCUCUGGAGGGUGACAACUCCUCUUUCCCGACGGGAUUGCGAGCGCCUUCUUCGCUUGUCUACAGCUCACACAGCGCCUUCGUGGCGCGCCAGACGUGUGGCCCCUGUCUCACAGACAAAGAAACCAGGCCCAGGGAAGUUGUGGGUUAGUCAAGGUCACGCAGCUAGAGCAGGAAAGAGAGCCGAGCCGACCACUUCCUACUGAGAAUUCCGGACUCAGAGAAAAAUGGAAAAGAGAGAACGAGGGAAACAAGCCUAACUAAGAGGAGGACUGUCCAAAGGAUAAGGCUGCCUCGAGUAAGAUCGUACUGGUUGGGAUUAGAGAAAAGAAGGGAUAACCUAAACCAGAAGUGCCAAGCAUCUGGAGAAGGGAAAGUGCGUGCCACUUCUAGCAUUUUCCCAAACACUGGGUGUCUCUGCUCCCCGCCCACGAAAGGCAUUUCUAGGUUGCAGCCACCCCACCCCCUCUCAGAUCUUGAAAGGGAGGCGGAGCUGGUGACUCAGAAGUACAACGACUCCGACUCAUCUAAAAAUAAGGGAGGACUUAAAUAGACAAGUUAUUUGGGAGAAAAUCGGCCAGCUCCUGGGGUUCUAAAUACCCUCAAUUUAGUGUUUAGAGGAUCCAGAUCGUCCCCAAAGUCUCCUACUUUUUUGAUCUUCCUGGAAACCAACAAAAACACUACGGAGGUUGAGCCAGUGCCAAUCUAUAAACUCAAAAUGAAAAA